GGAGGCGAUGCCCGCGAAUUUGUUAGGGGGGUAAGCGGCGGGUGAGGUCCUCGAGGGCGGUCCCGUUUGCUGAUUGAGCGGUAGAGGGAGGCGAUGUUCGCUGACCCAACAAGGACAGCAGGUGGAGUAGGCACAGAUGGAAAACUGCUGCCGGUGCCCUAAGCAGAAGGCAGGUGGAAAAAUCAGCACUAGGACGUCGAAGCGAUGGUACCACAGUCAAAUCCCACGACGUCUACACUCUACCAAGCACUUGCGCACGCUCCCCCUUUUCCAUUCAGUACUCCCAAGAGGGGUUCGGAAGAACCCCGAGUCCACUGGGAGAGACCGUGGUCACGAAGGGGGUUCUCCCAGAGUGAAGCUUCUUCAUCGCACUCUAGAGUUGCUGAUCCCUGUGAUUUCCUCCAUGUGGGAAACGGUGUUUGUGCUAGAAGAGGCUGCGCUCUUUACCUGACAUAACGGGGUUCAAGACUGACAACGCCUCACGCCCACCCGAAAACGUUUACAUGGCUUCCUUGUCUCUUUUUUUUUCUGUCCUAAAGUCGCCUCAUCUUCACAUCCCCUCUUUUUUUUCUUCCACACUCGAGAGUGUCUCUCUCUCUCAGUAAAAGCUCCACCAAAUAUUUGAAAUAUCUCAACCAGAAAGACUGCAAUAAAUACAUUAUUUCAUUCGUGGAAGGUACAGACCA
ensembl:lncRNA novel transcript